ACGAACGCUGGCGGCAUGCCUAACACAUGCAAGUCGAACGAAGGCUUCGGCCUUAGUGGCGCACGGGUGCGUAACGCGUGGGAAUCUGCCCUUGGGUUCGGAAUAACAGUUGGAAACGACUGCUAAUACCGGAUGAUGUCGCGAGACCAAAGAUUUAUCGCCCAGGGAUGAGCCCGCGUCGGAUUAGGUAGUUGGUGGGGUAAAGGCCUACCAAGCCGACGAUCCGUAGCUGGUCUGAGAGGAUGAUCAGCCACACUGGGACUGAGACACGGCCCAGACUCCUACGGGAGGCAGCAGUGGGGAAUAUUGGACAAUGGGCGAAAGCCUGAUCCAGCAAUGCCGCGUGAGUGAUGAAGGCCUUAGGGUUGUAAAGCUCUUUUACCCGGGAUGAUAAUGACAGUACCGGGAGAAUAAGCUCCGGCUAACUCCGU
rnacentral:rRNA from 1 species